GAUGAAGAACGCAGCGAAAUGCGAUAAGUAAUGUGAAUUGCAGAAUUCCGUGAAUCAUCGAAUCUUUGAACGCACAUUGCGCCCCCUGGCAUUCCGGGGGGCAUGCCUGUCCGAGCGUCAUUGCUACCCCCUCAAGCGCGGCUUGUGUGUUGGGCGCUGUCCCCCCUUUUUCGGGGGGGACAGGCCUGAAAGGCAGUGGCGGCGUCGCGUCCGGUCCUCGAGCGUAUGGGGCUUUGUCACCCGCUCUGAGAGGAUCCGGCCGGGGCCUGUCUCACCCCCAAUCUUCUCUAAGGUUGACCUCGGAUCAGGUAGGGAUACCCGCUGAACUUAAGCAUAUCAAUAAGCGGAGGA
rnacentral:misc_RNA from 1 species